rnacentral:siRNA from 1 species
AAGAUCGGGUUGCGGUUUAAGUUC